AGCUUUACACAGUGGCAGUAUCGUAGCCAAUGAGGUUUAUCCGAGGCACAAUUAUUGCUAAUUGGAAAAAAUAAAAAGAUUCUAAAUAUGAGAAUCCCUGACUUACAAAAGU
rnacentral:snRNA from 1 species